rnacentral:rRNA from 1 species
AUUGAACGCUGGCGGCAGGCCUAACACAUGCAAGUCGAACGAGUGGCGGACGGGUGAGUAAUGUCUGGGAAACUGCCCGAUGGAGGGGGCUAACUACUGGAAACGGUAGCUAAUACCGCAUAACAUCGGGAGUGACCAGGUGGGAUUAGCUAUGGGGUGGGGUAACCGCUCACCUAGGCGACGAACCCUAGCUGGUCUGAGAGGAUGACCAGCCAUACUGGAAAUGAUACACGGUCCAUACUCCUACGGUAGGCAGCAGGUGGGAAGAUUGCACAAUGGGCGCAAGCCUGAUGCAUCCAUGCCGCGUGUAUGAAGAAGGCCUUCGGGUUGUAAAGUACUUUCAGCGAGGAGGCGUUACUCGCAGAAGAAGCACCGGCUAACUCCGUGCCAGCAGCCGCGGUAAUAC